rnacentral:lncRNA from 1 species
AGAAGCCGGCUCCUUGAUAUGUCAGCUUCUUCUCAGAGUUUCUUUCUCUCUCUUCAGGAUCUGGAACCACAUAUUCUCUCUCUUGAAUCAAGAAACCAGAAAAUCAGAAUCUCUCUUCAAAUCCGCGUGGUUCCAGCAGAAUAUGCAGGUCGGACAGGAAGGCAUCAUUUGGAAAAGAAAAGCGGUGUUAUCCAGAAGAGUUGGUGCUGCUUCUGUGGAGAAAAAACAGAGCAUCCUAAUAUUGCUGAUUUUGUCGCUCUAUGUGGCCAUGUGGAUAUCAGAAAAAAGCGCAGACAGCACAAAAGGGAUCCAAGAAUGCAAUUACUCUAGGAGUCAUGAAGCUUCCAAGAGCUUUGAUGAUCAAUUCAAGAAUCAACCAAAGGAACCAGUGAGGGCUAUGGGACUAUGGUUGAGAGAGAACCUGGACACCCUUCAGGAGAGAAUGGAACAAGAAGAAUAUCUAUUUGACAACUCUAUGGAGGAUGGUUUCAAGAGUGGAGCCUGGAGACAAGGAAGCAAAUUAGGAGACUCCUUCAAUAGUCCAGAGGCAAGAAUAAGUAUUUGGAUGCUGAGUGACCUGCCUCCUGGACCCUCCUCCUUGUGUGACCAUCCCUUUCAAAUAGAUGGAACUUUCAAAUAA